CCUCCAUUUCUUGGCAUGCACAUGAUUGUUUAGUACGUGUGUGUGUAAUGUACGGAGGAAAAGUGAAUGCAGCGCUAUGUCUUCGGUACCGGUGUGUAUUUUAUUGUCUGCCGGUUCUAUCCUCAAACGCUGUUACAUUC